rnacentral:rRNA from 1 species
AGCGAACGCUGGCGGCAGGCCUAACACAUGCAAGUCGAACGAACCUUUCGGGGUUAGUGGCGGACGGGUGAGUAACACGUGGGAACGUGCCUUUAGGUUCGGAAUAACUCAGGGAAACUUGUGCUAAUACCGAAUGUGCCCUUCGGGGGAAAGAUUUAUCGCCUUUAGAGCGGCCCGCGUCUGAUUAGCUAGUUGGUUGAGGUAAUGGCUCACCAAGGCGACGAUCAGUAGCUGGUCUGAGAGGAUGAUCAGCCACAUUGGGACUGAGACACGGCCCAAACUCCUACGGGAGGCAGCAGUAGGGAAUCUUGCGCAAUGAGCGAACGCCUGACGCAUCCAUGCCGCGUGAAUGAUGAAGGUCUUAGGAUUGUAAAAUUCUUUCACCGGGGACGAUAAUGACGGUACCCGGAGAAGAAGCCCCGGCUAACUUCGUG